ensembl:lncRNA
GGAUUUUUUAGAGUGACCUUGAGGAUUAAAAUCUCUUGGUAAAUCAUACAUCAUGAUACGUGGAGUUCAUGUAACACUGUGUAGUAUCAGGCUGAUGUAGGGGUGCAAAAGUCACCAGCUAAGACCCAGGGGCAGUUUCUCCAGCCACAGGAUUCGCAAUUUUUUUUCUACUCUUUGUUUACUUGCUAUGAAUCAUCUCCUCUUAAGAAUUCAUUGUGCAGAUUUAUAUAAGGAGACAAAGAACUGUUUAAUCAUCUGGUCUACCCUGUUCAGAGUGCAAACCUGGCACUAUACCAGCAGGAGUGCCAGUGUCUCAGUGAAAGGCAAAGCAGCAACAUCCCCUGGUAGUUCUUGCUCCAGGAGUUGAGGUCACAACUAUACAGCGUAGGAGGGCAGCCUGCUCCUCACCACCUCUGCUUCACUGGGACCACAUCCAGGUGCCUUUGGAAGAUCUUCAAGGAGGUGACUCCUAAUAAACUAUUAUUCUCUUCUGUAAGGAAGAACAUUCAUUUUUAAUUCUUCACUUCAUCCCCAGAGAACUAGGGUGCAAUGAAAAACUCUCCUUUAACAUGUCCAAGUGAAGGGCCAGGCUCCAUGCCAGUUACAAAUUCCCUAUUCCAGGCGAUUAACAACUGACAGUUGAGCUGUUAAUGUCGAAAGUAGCCUGAUCCUCACUUAUCAUCUGCAUCAUGAAGAAAAUGCCACUUGUGAAGGGUUUCUGAAGAAGCUGCUAAAUGAAGGUGACAGACUGCUAAAUGAAGGUGAAGUUUCCUUGUGUGUGCAUGUAGUUAACAGCACUUAUUUUUAUUUCCAUAAACUCUGACACACAGUUUAAGUCAUGUUCAACCCAAUUCCUUCCCAGCACAAACUCAAGUCCACACUUGUGUUUGUGUCUUGUUCACCAAGUCUGCCAUCCCAGCCAGAAGGUUCAAGAAAACCUUCAUUUUAAUGCUCUUCAGUUCCACAUCUGUUUCCCAUCAAAUUUUUUUUAGAUUUCCCUAAUGCCUUUUUUUAAAAAAAACUGGUCUCAGCCUGAUCCUAUGGAGAAGAGGAAAGAGAAUUUGCCUAACUUCCUGUGUAACAGUGGAGGCACGAAGAAAGGAAGAAGAAAUAGAAUUUACAUAAGGCAAUCAUUGAUUAAAAAUCCAAGUACAAGGUAUGAUUGAUUGCAUCUCCUGCUUCUGUUAUUUUUGAAGCAUUAAGGACAUGAAUAGCUCAAUGGGUGACAAGAAAAGUGUCAGGUUGUUAAAAAAGUUGCAGACUCAUGCCUUUAGAUCUAAAAAUUAUCGAGCUGCAGCUCAAAGGUGAAAAACUUACCCCCAGGCGAGGAGGGUGUGACUCAUCAUCUCAACAUAAAAUGUACAUAACAGACUUCUGAAUAAAUUUGGUCUUUAUAAGAUCUGUGAAGGCCAAGUUGAAGUGACUGGAGAUGAAUACAAUGUGAAAAGUGUGGAUGGAAAGCCUGGUGCUUUCACAUGUUACCUUGAUGCAGAUCUUGCCAGAACUACUACUGGAAACAAAGUCUUUGUGUGAAAUAAUCAGAUGCUAUGUAUGGGAAAAGGACCACAACAGCUGUGACACAUUUUUACUCUUUUCAUUUGCACACUUGGUCCAGAUUUGGCCUCUCUUACUCAAUUUAAAUAGUUCCUCACCAUGUAGUCAUGAAUGCAAAUGGGACUGUAUGGAAACUGAUGUGCUACCACUGCAAGGCAAGAUAAUCUGAAGACAUUGUUUUGUUUAAACUUUCUCUGUACAUAUACUCAUAAAUAUGAAAUAAAAUACUUAAUACAAACGUAAAAGGAUGUUUGUGUAUGUGUGUAGAGGUUUUUUUAACCAAAGAUCAAGAUAUGCUGAACUUCAAAAGGUUAUUUUGGGCCAGGUAAAACUUCAGAGUUUUGUUUCUCCCCAGAAAAGUCAAUAUGGUUUCUGCUCUGCUGUGAUCAAGACUAUUUACUUGACAGUUUAGAAUAAACCUAGAAUCAAUAUCUUUAUCGUGUCAUGUGGAAAUGUAUAUAUGUGUCAGAUAAAACCUUGCAGUUAUAGCAGCAAGAGAGACAUAAAUUUAGUGCUUUGAACUUUUCAGAAUUGGUUUUAAGAAUAAUGUAUUUUAUAUGGCAGAGACGCUACCAGUAAGAGGGAGUCUCAACUAAUGGAAAAUGAUCGAGGAGUCAAAAUGGUACCUCUCUUAAAUCACAAAAGAAGUGAUUAUCGUGUCUCUUCCAGAUGCAGUUUUAAUGAGACGUGAAUAGCAGUUGAGUAGGGGGUGUUGAUUUUUAAACAUACAGCAAUUAUCAGUCUCACUAGCAGUAAUCAUCUAAUAUUCCUUAAAGUAAGUCGCAAUUGUAUGUAUCUGAUCUUGCAUUCAAUCAGACUAAAAUAAGACUAACUCAUGAUUACUGUAUACACUUAGCUCUCAUUUUGAAUGACUACUUUUUAAUUCUAGAACAACUCCUAAGAGAACAGUAACAUUUUGACAAUAUCACAUAUUCCCAAAGAUAUGAAUUACCCAAGGGUAACAAAAUGUAAAGGUCAACUUUCUGUUUCACUGUGAAUUAAAUUUUGAGCUGUAACCAAUUAGCAUUUAGGUUUUUUCUGGCUGAUUCUGAGUCUUGUAAGCCACUCCUACCUCAGGGGGAACUAUUUAAAAAAAAAAAAAAAAAAAGAAAUCACUUCCAAAAGGUGCACACGGAUUUUCCAAUUGUCAGGGAUUUUUUUUUUUUUCUUUUUUAAACAUCCAAUUGUCAGUCAGAAUUUGUCAGGGAAGGAAGGAGUGGCGCUAAGUACUUUGCAUGUGUCUCUGCUUUGCAGUUUGAUGCUCUCUGCAGCAAAAAACAAGUUAAUUCCUGGAUCAUGGAGUACUUCCCGGUGACUUGCUGGCAAACCCUAGAUGGUGGGUUUCAUCUCAGCUACCUCUAUAUGCUCUGAUGAGUGGAGCAGAAGGGCAAAAUCCCUAAAAGCCAGGUAGCCUCCAAAAGCUCUAGGGAGCAGAGGAGCCUGAGACUGAGGCGUGCCCAGGUACCUUCUGGCAUAGCAGAAGAGAAAUGAGUGAGUUUGAAACACAGUUGUUUAGUUUGUGCUGUGUUGCAGCUUUUUAGGACCAUCUUGGUCAAACAGGAAAAUACUGAAAUGUGAAUUCUCUCUUUGCAAAAACGUUUCCAGCUUUGUAUUGCAAAGCCUAGAGAAUGAGGAGCAGAAGAAUUCGCAUACUCAAGAUUCAAGUAAAGAGCACAGGAAAUGUCUAUGAAGGAAAAAGCAGUGGAAGAAGAGAACAACAGCAUCAAAAAUAACUCUAUGCAUCGAACCUAAUCCUGUGCACCUGCUACUGCGUCACUGAAGAGACUGAGUGUAGCCUGCAGUGAUAACAAGGUGGGAGAGACGUUAGGAGUGAAUUACAGAUAACUCUGUCUACAUGUAGAAUGUUGUCUCUAUUUUUCUUCCCUGGAAAUCUUCCCAAAUAAAAGAAUCUGAUCACAUCUCAAAGGGAAGCUCCUGCAGAAAGCAGUGCUAUUUCCUCUGAAUAGAACAUCCUGGGGCGUGCAGGCAAUACCAACUAUCAUUUUGUAUUUGUAUUUCUUGACUGUUAUUCCUGUGGUGCUAUUUAAGGUGUUGACUGUGGUCAUAAAGAGAACUCAAAUUAGGUUGCAUGAUCAAGCUGGAAAAAUUAUCCUAGGCUUGCUGGGAAAGUCUGUGCAUAUGGCUGGAUAUGCACACACCAAGAUAGUGAAAGGAAUUAGGCUUCUGUAGGUUUUUAUCUAGAUGAAUUCCACUUGAAUGGAUUUAAUGCUGACUCUGCUUAGUUGGAUUGUCUAUUGAGUACUACUGAGUCUGAAGUAUAUAAAUGGUGUCCUCUCACUUAUACUGACACAAGAAAAUCAAGAUGAAUGCAGGAAAAUUAAAUUUCAGUGAUAUAUGUGAAGACUUAAGAAAUCAAAUUGGGAAAACUGGCAAUUAUUCUGCUAUACAAAAAAAGAAUUAAUUCCAAAUUUAAAUUUUUUUAGGUCAUGUUGUAUUUCAUCCUUCCUCAGACAAUGAUUUUUUAUCUUAGAAGACAUCCUUCAGAUAACAGUGCUUUCUCUUACGGUAGAAAUAGCAUUUUCCCAAACUGUUUGUUCCAAAUUUGGCUUUCAUUUCUCUAACUCAAGGAUAGAGACUGUGUCUCUUUUGAAAUUGUUAUUUCUGUCCAUAUAUCAUCAUGCAAAUACUUCUCAGAAUAAAAUUAAAUGGAUAAUUUAAAUGCAGUCUACUUAAGCAAGACAUUGUGUUUCUCUCCAAAUGAACAUUACACUGCAAUAACAUGGGCAGUAAAACUAUAAUUUCUAAUUAAUUCCUAAAUGUCAACUAUCCUUUGGAAAACUAAUGAAAAAUCUAAUUGUUCAAGGAUAACCUAGACAAAACUUAAAGAAAAAAUGUUUCUAUGGUAUCUAAGACCUAAACUUUAUUAAAAUGGAUUAUUUAAGGUAUUUAAAUACAUGAGAAAUAACUGGACAGGUGUCAAAAUAGCUGAGUUAUACUCAAAGGUUUGAAACAAAGUAUUUGAAAAUUAAAUAGAAGCGUGUCAUUGUUUACAAAAUUCAUUUUAGACAUUACACUCCUCCAUGUUUUGACUAAGUUCCCUCUCUUUCUUCCAAACACAUAUUUCUCCCCAGCACCCUCAUUUAGAAGAACUGAGGUAUCCCUGAUUUUACAGUGGUAGUAUGAAUGAGCUAAUUCACGACAUCACACGGUAAUGAAUGUUUGGAGUUUGAAAGAGAGCCUCAGCAGCAUUACUAGGGACUGACUUUGUGAAAACUUUUAUUAUUUAAAUAUCUGAAAGACCAUCAAAUGGUCUAACAAGAGGAUAUACAAACCUCAGCUAAGACUCAGAUGUACUUUGCAUGUGAGCUUUGCCCUUUUAUAUCAGUUCUCCUAUAAAUGAUUCUUAUUCUAAUGGGAGUGUGCAAGUUUUGGUCUAAUAUCUCAAAUCUGCACUAAAGUCCUCCAAUUUCUAAUGAAUGUGCUCAGCUACUCGAAAUUCUGUGGUGAUAAAAGAGUGCACCUUUUCCACUCAAGUACCCUUUUCGCUGUAACAAGAUGUGAGAAAAACCUCUUGACCUAUACAAAGAAAAUUGGACCGAUAAAUGUUGAAUAGAGGCGUACUGAAAGUUCAUGAGGAGACAGGCAUCCUUCAAUUCUUAGCAAUGAUUACUCUGAAACUUCUAUGAAGUUUAUAAUGUAGAUGUGGGAUAAAAAUGAGAUAAAUGAUUGGCAUAUGCAUUUAUUUUUUUUUUCUUUCUUUCUUAUUUCAUAGCUCUCCCUAAGCCCGUGCAAAUUUAGGAGCAUGGCACUGUUUUUGUAUAAGCCAUAAAAGAACAUAGACAUUAUGUAAAUAGUUUCAGUGGAGAAAUGAAGUGGAAAAACUCAUUUUACAAUAGAAAGAAUAAAUGGAAUUACUUACCAUUUGAUGGGGCUGAAAACCACUGAGCUUUAGAGAAGUCUGAUCAUUUCUGUAAGCACUUACAUGUAAUAAGGAAUAAUGAAUUUUAGCUUGUGUCUUCCUAGACACAGCAUCCCACCUCAAAGAGGAAGAGGGGAAAAGGUGGAUCAAACUUCUUAUCUCUGUAACACAUAUAAAACCAAAGAAAACAGUACACUACAGUGGAACCUUUCUGUAUUUGUACCAGAGUAAUUGGGAACAGAGCCCUGAUUCCAGUAGUAAUUUAAGUUUUUGUGUGCUACCCACUGAACUCUUUAUGAAGCUCUUGUGCCUCAGGAAAAAUCUGCUCUUCUCCCAUUGAAGCUACAGGGAUAUUGGAUGACUUUAACUAGGACAAGGGGCUGGCUUGAGGGGCUGGCCAAGGCACCAACAGUAGCUGUAAUGCCAUUGCCUUGGGGCGGCUUCUAACUCAGCUGAAAGCAGUGUCAGUCAGCUCCAGAUGAGCAUUUCUACUCUGUGAUUUUGCAGCCUUGGAAUCCACCACCCACACUGGUGACAGUGAAAUUGAUAUGAAAGGCAACCUAUUUUCCAUUUUCAAAGGUAACCAUUAUGUCCUGGCCUUGAUCCAGUUAUAUUUGACUUUGAGCACAUCAGCUUAACUACAAUGAAAAUAUCAAGCCAUUAUUUAGGAAAACAUAAUCUCAUGUGAAGUUAUCCACAAACAUUCCAAGGUGCAGUUUAAUGUAUUUAUGCAUAAGUAAAUGUUGGAACAAUUUUAAAUUUAAAAAAAAAAAAAGUGAAUUAUCAGAAACAAGAUGACAAAAGAAGGAAUACUGAAGGCAGCACAACUGAGACUGCAGAACAGUUUGAUCUUCAGGGACUGAUUCUGCCUCAGUUUCAUGGCUCUGGCUAUUUUAACAUUAGCUAUGAAAUAACAUUACAAAAACAUAAUUAUGUUGUAAUUAUUUAGUGUUCUAUGGAAUUAAGCUAGUGAUAAUGAACACAAGAACACUAAUGUGGUCAAUUGUCCAUUUUUUACAAGUUUGUCACAAUAGUACUGAUACUUAACUUGAUUUGCGUGUAAUUUUAGAAAGGAAAUAUGUGUAUUAAAAAUGUAAUAUGAAUGACUUCUUUAUGCAGAUAGUUCCAUCAGAUUUAUCUUCUAGGAUUCCAGUUGGUAUGUUUCAAUAAUUUAGCAUCUAUUCAUUUUACUCAUUGUACUGGGAUUUUGUUAACCUUUUUUAAUUAGUAUUAAAGAGACUCAGUAGGAAUAUUCAUUGCCCACAGGUAAAAAUAUUCUCAUCAUUCGGUAGAAUGGCUAUUUUUAUAAUGUUCCUACUUUUAAGGUGCAAUUAUGUUACAAAUCCUUUGGAAUGCACAAAGAUAUUUAAAAGCAAGCACCUAUAAUUAUUCCAUAAACUAAUCUGUUAGCUCAUUCAAAAAUUAGACAUUAACAAAGAAAAAUGGAGGAGGGAAGGGAGCAAGAAGAAGGGAAGAAAGAAGGAAGGAAAUAAGGUUGAAUUUCUGCCACCUUCACUUGCAGUGAAGGCUUGCAAACAUUAUUAAAAGCCAUGUCUGAAAUCUCUACCAUCUUCAGUUGCAGAAACAAAAUCAAUCCUUGAAUUAAGAACUAUGAAAAAUAAAUAGUAAAAGAAGAAAAGCCACUUGGAGAAUGGCAGAAUAUGUUACAGGACAGAUUGGUCCAUGUGAUACAUCUUUUCACUGAUAACUUUUCAAAAUGCACUUAAAUCUUAUUUACCUUCAUUCUCUAUUGUUCCUCACACAAAAACAAUCAUUUCAUGGUAUGUGGCUGGUAUCUAGCUGUAGAACUAACAAGCAAUGAGAACAAUUGCUGUUACGAAGAAUAAGUGCCUACUUUGAAUUUUAUACUUAAAAAGAGAAACGUGAAAAAUAGCAUAUAAUAAAAAUUAAUGUCAGACAGACCUGCUCCGCUAACCUUGCAUGGUCUUUUUAAUUACUCUGCAGAAUUUUAAUAUGCUCCACUCACUGGAGAGGAAGGGAAUUUGUGUAUUAGUUUUCCUGACCUACAUUUGCACUCAUUUUGCUUAGCAGAAGGAAGUCAAGGAGGUGGGACACAUAAUAAGGAAGGGUUAUCAGGAUAUGAACUACUGAGUAAAACACAAGAUGUUCGGGUUCUCAAAAGUGAUUGAGAAGUUUCAUGACUUAUCCAAGAAAUCAGGAAUCAGUCACAGUAAUCGUACCAACACUUGUAACACACCCUAGAGAUUUGAGACAGUUUAGUUGUUGAAAACAGAAUUUAGCAACGUGAAAGAGAUGAAGGGGCCAGUUCAUGUUUAUGCUGGCUUCUCCCUUGUUUAGUUGGCCCAUUGACUUCAGUAGAGUUAUUUUGAGAUGUGAGUUCCUUUUAUGUCUGUUAGGAAAAUCGGGGGAAGCAGAAUGUUCUUUACUUUAACCCUGUUCUUAAAGAGAACAGCCAGUGAUUAAGCUCAUGUUGUGAAUCUUUUCCUCACACUAGGGAUAGUGUCCAUGGACAGUCUGACUCAUACCAGCUGCGCACAAACCUUCCCACCCCAGAAACGGCUUAUUAUUGCCCAGCAGACCUAUGGAAAAUCCUAGAAUUUCUGAAAACUAGUUCUGUAUGUAAAAUAAAUACAAUUAAUUUUUAAUUUAGUGAAAGAUCACUACUGCACAGUGGAGGUCAGAAAUCUUCUUUUGUUCAGCAAAAAUUCACUCCUUUAUCUAUUGACCCCCAAGAUCCUUUGCCUCUUAGGAGGAAUAAAAAUAGAACUGAUGAAACACAACAUAACUUGAAUUAUGCAUCAGAGCUGCGACCUAGUGAAGAAAGCAAAGGAUGUUCUUGAUUUUAAGUCUCCUGAGAGCUUUCGUGGUGUCAUAUCAACCAGUCACUUUUAGCAAUCCAUUGCCAAUGCAUAUCUACAUGGAAAUGAUGCACAAAUUAGAUUUGAAUGUGAAGAUUUGACGUGAAGAUUUCCUCAUACUACAUUGGAAAGGUAAAGGAGCUUAAGGAUGGUUUGGCUGCUACAUAUAUCCAUGCUAAAACCCCUUAGAAACUAGAUCUUUUUCUGGGAAGUGGCACCCUGCAUCCAGUUCCCUGAGGUGCUGAGCACUUCCUGAAAGCAGCAGGAAUUGGACAUACUGACUGUUUUACAGGAUCAGAUUUUACCUCAAGUUAAAACUACCAGGUUUGCACAAAUCCUAUAGGCGAUUCAGCUAUGCCCAGAGAUAAUCAGGUACUCUGAGAUUAAAAUACUGAGAGCUAUCUUCUGUUCCCUGGGGAUGGUGUCUAAUAUAUGUUAAAUCCAAUCAGUGCCUCUUAGCUUUCUUCCCUGUCACAGAGUUUCAGUUUACUAAUUAGAAAUGUUCAGCUGCAAUUCCUUUGCAUCACUUUCUCGCCGGGUAGGAUUCAGCACCCUCUGAGAAUUUAAAAAGGUUACACCACCAUUUGUCAAGGUCACAGCAAGAAAGGUUUUUCAUUAAUUUUAGAUUGGCAAAGAAUAAGAAAUAUUGUAAUUGCUGCAUUUAAGCCAUUCACUGCACCAUCUCUCUUUCUACUUCACAGACAACCAAUUAGGGGCUUUAUUUAAAAUGUAUGAAUUGCAUGACUGUCAUUAAAGCUACAAUUCUAAAGAGUUCAUUUGCUUUCUUUAAUGGAAGUAUUACAGAAACUCAGGUAUUUUUCAGGACAAUGACCCAAUCACUCAACAUUUGGUAAAUAAAAAUGGCUCUGUAGGCCUGACCACAGGUGGAGUUUCCAUUAACAUGAGUGCUGAGAGGGCCUGGUUCUGUGAGGUGCUGACAGGCCACCGUGCCAGCCUUGACCAUCUGCAUCCUCAGUGUGACAGCAAGGCCAGGAAAAAACAACAUGAAAUGAAGUGCUCAACAUUUGUGAAAACUAUACAGAACUGCCUCCAAGGCCUGUUGCUGGUUACUGAAGCACAACUAUGACAUAGUUUCAGCAAAGCGAGAGCCAUUAGUGGACCCAAGGGCUCAGCCAAAUGUGCUUUCAGCAUUCUCCAACAUCCUACUAGCUUUCCUGAGUGAUUAUCUUUCUCAUGGCCAACAGCUACACCUUGCAUCUUCUUUCUUUUUUUUGCCACAUAUUGGAAAUGAGAUAUGGCUCUAUUCCCUUCUUUUUGUGUGUGUGUGUGUAUGUGAAAGGACAUAGAAGUAAGCAUCUUCUCUAUUUUAGAAGCAACACAUUUACAGCAAAGUGUUAGACUUGGUGGUCUGAGAUUAUAUUUUUUAGUAUGUUUUUUAACAGGUGUGCUUCAUCAUUAAGUGCAUCUUUCAAGCAGGAGGAUUCCUGCAGACUGUAAGGGCAUGGGAAUUGUAUGACUUCACAUUGGGAAUACAAAUUCUUGUCUUGAUUUGCUAGAAGGGAUUUGCUUUUUCAUGUGGUACUGCACUACUCCAAAAGCUUUCACUGGGACGUAAACAACUAACUAUCAUUUUAAUUCCUUAUAGAAAAUAUUUUGGCCUAUGUUUUUGUUUUCUUUUUAAUACCAACAAGAAAAAAUCUUUGUCCCAACUAUACCAUUAUCUGUAUAUAUACUGAAACACAGGCAUUUCUUUUGUUUUCAUCAUAUAGUAAAUGUGUUUUUUUC